UUGUUGCUUCGGCGGGAUCGCCCCGGGUGCCAUUCAGUUGCGCCCCGGAGUCAGGCGCCCGCCAGAGGACCGAAACUCUUGUAUUAUUGAGAAUCUCUGAGUGGAUUAAACAAAUAAUCAAAACUUUCAACAACGGAUCUCUUGGUUCUGGCAUCGAUGAAGAACGCAGCGAAAUGCGAAAAGUAAUGUGAAUUGCAGAAUUCAGUGAAUCAUCGAAUCUUUGAACGCACAUUGCGCCCGCCAGUAUUCUGGCGGGCAUGCCUGUCUGAGCGUCAUUUCAACCCUCACGCCCACUUGGGCGUGGUGUUGGGGAUCGGCUAAGCCCUAUAGACGGGACGCCGGCCCCUAAAUCUAGUGGCGGGACCGCUGUGGCCUCCUCUGCGUAGUAGUGAUACCCCGCAUGUGGAGAGCGGCGAGCCCCUGCCGUUAAACCCCCAACUUUUCAAGGUUGACCUCAGAUCAGGUAGGAAUACCCGCUGAACUUAAGCA
rnacentral:rRNA from 1 species